rnacentral:lncRNA from 1 species
CUCUGGAGCACAAGCAUUCCUUCACUGUGGACACAAGGUGGUCCCCCCGUGGUGCUCAGUCUGGCGAGUCCAUGAAGUCAGAAAGGAGAGCCAUCAGCGAGGCAGUAUCAAGAGCAAAACAGAAGACACAGAAGUAGCAUCGGAGUGCGGGACGCAGCAGAGGAGAGGGCUACCCUGCAGGCGGCAGUGGUCUCAGCAGGAAGAAGGAGACUUGGAAGGUAGAACUGAGGACCCAGAGGAUGUAGCGGCUGGAAGAGGGCUCUGCACACCUUUCCUGUGCUACCGCGGUGGCCCUGGCAUCCUCAUAAGACAGACCACAUACAUGUUUAAGGAUAUAAGACUCAAAGGAAGAGCCCCCUACGACAACCCAGGAAAUGUUGCUUCCUGCUCUUGA